UGGGGAAUAUUGGACAAUGGGCGAAAGCCUGAUCCAGCCAUGCCGCGUGUGUGAAGAAGGUCUUCGGAUUGUAAAGCACUUUAAGUUGGGAGGAAGGGUUGUAGAUUAAUACUCUGCAAUUUUGACGUUACCGACAGAAUAAGCACCGGCUAACUCUGUGCCAGCAGCCGCGGUAAUACAGAGGGUGCAAGCGUUAAUCGGAAUUACUGGGCGUAAAGCGCGCGUAGGUGGUUAGUUAAGUUGGAUGUGAAAUCCCCGGGCUCAACCUGGGAACUGCAUUCAAAACUGACUGACUAGAGUAUGGUAGAGGGUGGUGGAAUUUCCUGUGUAGCGAUGAAAUGCGUAGAUAUAGGAAGGAACACCAGUGGCGAAGGCGACCACCUGGACUGAUACUGACACUGAGGUGCGAAAGCGUGGGGAGCAAACAGGAUUAGAUACCCUAGUAGUCCCUGAGCGGGCUGGCAAGGCGCAU
rnacentral:rRNA from 1 species